rnacentral:rRNA from 1 species
AUACGAAGGGGGCUAGCGUUGUUCGGAAUUACUGGGCGUAAAGCGCGCGUAGGCGGACUGAUCAGUUGGGGGUGAAAUCCCAGGGCUUAACCCUGGAACUGCCUCCAAUACUGUCAGUCUUGAGUUCGGGAGAGGUGAGUGGAAUUCCUAGUGUAGAGGUGAAAUUCGUAGAUAUUAGGAAGAACACCAGUGGCGAAGGCGGCUCACUGGCCCGAUUCUGACGCUGAGGCGCGAAAGCGUGGGGAGCAAACAGGAUUAGAAACCCUAGUAGUCC